rnacentral:rRNA from 1 species
GAGUCGAGUUAUUUGGGACUAUAGCUCAAAUAGUUUGGUUGGUGGUAAUGACACAUCAAAGGCUAAAUAUUGGUUAGUCGAUGCAACUUUAUACGGAGACCGAUAGCAUACAAGUACCGUAAGGGAAAGAUGAAAAGCACCCUAUUGAGUUCACGCCGUCUUAGAAAUUAUGGCCUCGGCCACUUUUCUUAUGACGCGCAUACAACUACAGUGGGAGUGAAAGAGAGAGUGAAAUCGCCUAUACGUGAAAAUAUAAAAUACACGCAACAACGUACUGUAUUCUAUAUAGUCUGCGAUAGUACAAUCGGACAGAGUGUGGCAUUAACGGCCGUCUGACUUAUUCUCUCACACUCAGUGGGUAAGUUAUGAUUGGCCCAUGGUUGAUUUUUACAAUCUUCCAUACGCGACACAACUGUACGACCCGUCUUGAAACACGGACCAAGGAGUUCAACUGGAUUACGAGUCGUAGCGUUAUAAUAUAUAAUAAGCGCAUACGGCAUAGCGAAAGCAAACUUAUAUUACUGUGCCAGGUCAGCCUUACCGAGGCUUGUCCGCAGCACGCGCUGAGUUAGAAUAUACGUCGGCCGUAAGGAAGGCGUAUACCAUAUAAUUUAUUAUGUGGGUAACUCAAGCGUUCAACAUCGAGUACAUCUUGUUGAGACCCGAAAGAUGGUGAACUAUGCUUGGAUAUGGCGAAGUCAGGUGAAAACUUGAUGGAAGCUUGCGUUGUGCGGAACUGACGUGCAAAUCGUUACCGCCUAACCUAAGUAUAGGGGCGAAAGACUCAUCGAACCAUCUAGUAGCUGGUUCCCUCCGAAGUUUCCCUCAGGAUAGC